rnacentral:sRNA from 1 species
ACCUAUGGGAUUGUGGCCCAGGCUCACGCUCAUGAAGGUUCUAUCUUCGCCUUGUGUCUCCGGAGGGACGGGACAGUGCUGAGUGGUGGCGGGCGGGACCGCCGGCUGGUACAGUGGGGGCCCGGGUUGGUGGCCCUCCAGGAGGCUGAGAUUCCCGAGCACUUUGGGGCCGUGCGAGCCAUUGCUGAAGGGCUUGGCUCUGAGCUGCUGGUGGGAACCACGAAGAAUGCAUUGCUGAGGGGAGAUCUGGCCCAGGGCUUCUCUCCUGUAAUCCAGGGCCACACUGAUGAGCUCUGGGGGCUCUGCACACACCCCUCCCAGAACCGCUUCCUCACCUGCGGCCACGACCGGCAGCUCUGCCUGUGGGAUGGGGAGAGCCAUGCACUGGCCUGGAGCAUCGACCUCAAGGAGACUGGUCUCUGUGCUGACUUCCACCCGAGUGGGGCAGUUGUGGCCGUAGGACUGAACACGGGGAGGUGGUUGGUUUUGGACACAGAGACCAGAGAGAUCGUGUCUGAUGUCAUUGAUGGCAAUGAGCAGCUCUCAGUGGUCCGGUACAGCCCAGGUGGGAGCCACCCCAACCCUGGACUCACAUGCGUCCCUGGCCCUUCCCUCUCUGAGUGACUGUAUUUGCAGAUGGGUUGUACCUGGCCAUUGGUUCCCAUGACAACGUGAUCUACAUCUAUAGUGUUUCCAGUGAUGGUGCCAAAUCCAGCCGCUUUGGCCGCUGUAUGGGUCACUCCAGCUUCAUCACUCAUCUUGACUGGUCCAAGGAUGGGAAUUUCAUCAUGUCCAAUUCUGGGGACUAUGAGAUUCUUUACUGGGACGUGGCUGGAGGCUGCAAGCAGCUGAAGAAUCGCUAUGAGAGCCGAGACCGGGAAUGGGCUACCUACACCUGUGUGCUGGGUUUUCACGUCUACGGUGAGCAGGGGCGUGGAACCCUGCUGGAAGGGUGGGGGACAAGGUGGAGCCCAGUUUGGGCUUGGAACGCUGGGCGUGUGUCGUUGGGUGAGAGUCCAGAAACCUGAAGAUCCAGCCCAGGAGGCCCCUCCGGCCCUCGGGACCGGGAAGGCUUGCCUGGAACGCGGCAGUGGGUGGCCGCGGCUGCCGGAGCGCCUGAAAUGGUGUAGCUCUGGGCCGUGGGUGGCGGUGGGUAGGAGGUCGGGCUGAGGCCGGCCGCUGUGCUAGGCGUCUGGCCGGACGGCUCCGAUGGGACCGACAUCAACUCCCUGUGCCGCUCCCACAACGAGCGCGUGGUGGCGGUGGCCGACGACUUCUGCAAAGUGCAUCUCUUCCAGUACCCGUGCGCUCGUGCCAAGGUGAGGCCGCGGGGAUCGCCGGGGUGGGACCGGUGGGCCCGAGGGCUCAGCCGCCACCGCAACUCUUCCCUCCGGCCCAGGCGCCGAGCCGCAUGUACGGGGGCCACGGCAGCCACGUGACCAGCGUCCGAUUCACGCACGACGACUCGCACCUCGUCUCGCUGGGCGGCAAGGACGCCAGCAUCUUCCAGUGGCGAGUGCUGGGCGCUGGGGGCGCGGGGCCGGCGCCCGCCACGCCCUCUCGAACCCCCUCCCUGUCCCCCGCCUCCUCCCUCGACGUUUGAUCGCUGCCUGGCGGGACCGACUGGCCCGGCGGCGUGGCCCCGCCCCGCCCUGCCCUUCCCUGCCCUAAUCCCCCACGACUAGGGGCCGACUCUUUCCUCGACUGACUUCGAGACAUUCCCGAUCGCGCAUUUCCCUGGAGGGCGCGAACGGCGCCCCUGCACACACUGUUUAGACCCGCUGGCUGAGCCGGGCAGCCCCAGCCUAGGCCUUGACUCCCGCUGCCUGCUGAGGGGCAAUAAACCAGAACCAAAGUC